GGUAAUGGCGCGAAAAAGUUGUACGUAAUAAGUGUCAUGUGAAAGAUAAGAGUCUAACACGUCUGAUGAGAUCAAAAUCCUUUAUCUCAAGAAGUACAUUGUCCAAGAAACUUAGGUACUUGGGAUUCAAUCAAUUUGCAAGUAAAUGUCAUCAUCGGACCCAUCACAUUUCUUUGUCACCGUUACAACUUGAUCUAACUGCAUGCACUAUCUGUCAGUGAGUGACUAGAGCUGUAAACAGAGCGAGCAGAAAACGAAUGCACACAAGGGAUACAUUUCUUUGAGAUGUCUAUAUGAUCUGUUGUCACCUCGUCAACAUUAGAUGAAAACUUUUAGACAUCAAUUUAUAAUCAAUAAAGUUCUCCAAUCUAUCUAGUUCCUUCAACUAAGAAAUGACUGCAAAGGAGGAUCUUUUCGUAUUGUUUAAGGAACUACGAAACGAUAAACUCUUAUAACGCAUUAAUGUUUCAACACACUUGUUUGAGGUGAUUAUUCUUGUUUACAUACUAUCAUUGGCAUGAUCAACUCAAUCGAUUUGCAAGGACAUAAAUGCCGUCAUCGGAUCCAUCACAUUAUUUCCUUGUCACCGUUACAACUUGAUUCAACUGCAGGCACUAUCUGUCAGUGAGUGAACAGAGCUGUGAACAGAGCGAGCAGGAAAUGAAUACACGCAAGGGAUACAUCUCUUUAAGAACGCUGUUUAAAUACGCCGAUUGAAACGUAAAUCGAGCACCGAGCCUGACGCGCAGCGAUAUCGCGGUACGCGAGAGUUCACGGACCAGAGAAUUCGUAUUGAUUGAAGUGUGGGCGCCAGCGAUGAUUUGAUAAACGCAAAGACGACGCCAGAGCAGGCGCACCAAGGCGUCCAGUCUUCACGUGUCACUGCGAUGGGGGAGAUAUUUGUACGUCAGGAGCAACGAACGUAUGUAUGUGUGAUACUACAAGUUAACUAAUGUUACAUUUAUCGGCGUGUUUUUGCGAAUAUAAUAGUAACACAAUGACAAAUAAUAAUUUCUAUAUCCUGAAGAAAAUUAUGAGAAACUAGAAGUGCAUAAAAUACGGACAUUUCUGUUUUUUGUCGCUAGAAGAAGAUAACAUCCAGCAAUAACUUCGCUUUACACUUCAUAAAUAUGUAAUUGCUUCAGUUCGAUCAUCAAUAAUUUCAAUUUCCAGCUUUCAGCAUUCGUUAACGUUGACGAAAAAUUCUAAUUUAUAUACAAAACAAAUCGUGCGUCCACGAAGCGUUGAAACGACGAUUAAUCAAGUAGAACAAAUCGAGGCGAUCGGCUCGAUUUUUUUACUGCAACGAGUUUUCACGGAUAAUUUUUUUUUACUUUUCCCGUUCGACGGACGGACGAUCGCGAUCGCAAACAGAGGAAGGUUCGUUCACCCUGCCGAUUAUGCGAAUACGCAAACGCGCUCGAUAGCGCAAUAACCCAGAUUAAUCGGGCUGCAUAAAUCAGUCGAACCGGCGCGGCGCGUCGCAUCGCCUCUUCGGUUGCGAAUAUUUUCGCGCUAUUUUCGCAAACGCCACUCUCGCCACGAUAAGCUCGUUUCUCCCGCCGCGCGUAAACGCCGGCUUAACUAUAUAAAUCAUGCUUAACCCUCUGACCUGUAUGUGUGAUGUA